AGCUGUGCGGUGGGCACAGAGCGAACUAUUCUUUCGCCUUUUACUAAAGAAUACCGUGUGCUCGCCGCUUAUUGCGGCAUACGCCUAUUUUUGGAGGGUUGUUCUUUUUAAGAUCG
rfam:Gossypium raimondii Chr11_contig_1308, whole genome shotgun sequence.